rnacentral:rRNA from 1 species
UACAGGGGGGGCAAGCGUUGUUCGGAAUUACUGGGCGUAAAGGGCUCGUAGGCGGCCAACUAAGUCAGACGUGAAAUCCCUCGGCUUAACCGGGGAACUGCGUCUGAUACUGGACGGCUUGAGUUUGGGAGAGGGACGCGGAAUUCCAGGUGUAGCGGUGAAAUGCGUAGAUAUCUGGAGGAACACCGGUGGCGAAGGCGGCGUCCUGGACCAACACUGACACUGAGGAGCGAAAGCCAGGGGAGCAAACGGG